AGAAAGGAUUCCACUCAAACCUCCGCUGCCACACGCCACCGCAUCCCCAGACCCUACAACAAAGUGGCUUCCAAGAGGAAGUGCGACUUGGACAAACACUGCGGCGUCCUUGACCCAGACAGGAAGAAAGUGUGCACCCGCCUCCUGACAUGCAAUAUUCACUCCAUCCACCAGAGGAGGAAGGUGGUGGGCCGCAGCAAGAACUUUGACCAGCUAGUGGCAGAACUCAAGACCAGGGUUCGAGAGAAAGGGAGCCCAGCCCUGGAGGGAGGCUCCUCGACGGGACAGUCCCUCAGCCCAGAGGCCCCCAGGGAGCAAGCUGGUACUCCACACUGCAGGAGACCUUUGGUCACCCUCCCUGCCUUCAGGUUGUGAAGAAUGCUGAAGCUAAGGAUGCUUAUAGAAGAAGUUAGGACUCUUCUAGAGAUAAAUAAUCAUCUUUUUACUGAUUAUAGCGGCUCAAACAUGGUUUGGCUUGCAGGAUUCAUGUGUAGUCAGCUGCUGGGAAACUGUUUUAUCAAGAAGCUAACAGCUGCUGCUGUAACAUAGACAUGCUGGACUGAUGGUCUGCUAAACUAACACCCAGGUGUUCGUUCUGUUACAUAAUCCCCAAACAGAGCAAGUUUAAAGGCUUCUCAGAUGAGUCCACCAGUUCGCGACUCAGUACAGCGUGUGCAUCAAGUGUAGGGAAGGAGCUGAUGUGGUGCUGCUGAGGGUGUAACUGGAUCUGGAUGGUCCUGUGUGUGUGUUCUAGUUGGCCUACGGCUGUGGUAGAGAGUGCCCCAGAGGAGGAGAGCCAGCGGUCGGAUGAGGGUAAUCCCAGAGUCCCCUCGCCUCUGGUCCACGGACGAAUCUCGAGCGAUGAAAGCGAGGCAGAAGGAAACGACGAGCGAGCUGAGUUUCCAUCUUCGGCUGCGCAUCCCAGACCAGCGGCGGUGAGACUUACUGGGGCUCAGCAGCCACAGAGCCCAGCCUCUGAUCACCAUAGGCUGAGACGUUACACAGGGACAGGAGGACGCCCAUGCUGUGUCCUCAUGUCCCCAAGGACGCAGGGGAGACGCACACACAGGAGACGCACACACAGGAGACGCACG